rnacentral:rRNA from 1 species
GCGAACGGGUGAGUAACACGUGAGUAACCUGCCCUUGACUCUGGGAUAAGCCUGGGAAACUGGGUCUAAUACCGGAUACGACUAUCUGACGCAUGUCAUGGUGGUGGAAAGCUUUUGCGGUUUUGGAUGGACUCGCGGCCUAUCAGCUUGUUGGUGGGGUAAUGGCCUACCAAGGCGACGACGGGUAGCCGGCCUGAGAGGGUGACCGGCCACACUGGGACUGAGACACGGCCCAGACUCCUACGGGAGGCAGCAGUGGGGAAUAUUGCACAAUGGGCGAAAGCCUGAUGCAGCGACGCCGCGUGAGGGAUGACGGCCUUCGGGUUGUAAACCUCUUUCAGUAGGGAAGAAGCGAAAGUGACGGUACCUGCAGAAGAAGCGCCGGCUAACUACGUGCCAGCAGCCGCGGUAAUACGUAGGGCGCAAGCGUUAUCCGGAAUUAUUGGGCGUAAAGAGCUCGUAGGCGGUUUGUCGCGUCUGCUGUGAAAGACCGGGGCUCAACUCCGGUUCUGCAGUGGGUACGGGCAGACUAGAGUGCAGUAGGGGAGACUGGAAUUCCUGGUGUAGCGGUGAAAUGCGCAGAUAUCAGGAGGAACACCGAUGGCGAAGGCAGGUCUCUGGGCUGUAACUGACGCUGAGGAGCGAAAGCAUGGGGAGCGAACAGGAUUAGAUACCCUGGUAGUCCAUGCCGUAAACGUUGGGCACUAGGUGUGGGGGACAUUCCACGUUUUCCGCGCCGUAGCUAACGCAUUAAGUGCCCCGCCUGGGGAGUACGGCCGCAAGGCUAAAACUCAAAGGAAUUGACGGGGGCCCGCACAAGCGGCGGAGCAUGCGGAUUAAUUCGAUGCAACGCGAAGAACCUUACCAAGGCUUGACAUGAACCGGAAAGACCUGGAAACAGGUGCCCCGCUUGCGGUCGGUUUACAGGUGGUGCAUGGUUGUCGUCAGCUCGUGUCGUGAGAUGUUGGGUUAAGUCCCGCAACGAGCGCAACCCUCGUUCUAUGUUGCCAGCGCGUUAUGGCGGGGACUCAUAGGAGACUGCCGGGGUCAACUCGGAGGAAGGUGGGGACGACGUCAAAUCAUCAUGCCCCUUAUGUCUUGGGCUUCACGCAUGCUACAAUGGCCGGUACAAAGGGUUGCGAUACUGUGAGGUGGAGCUAAUCCCAAAAAGCCGGUCUCAGUUCGGAUUGGGGUCUGCAACUCGACCCCAUGAAGUCGGAGUCGCUAGUAAUCGCAGAUCAGCAACGCUGCGGUGAAUACGUUCCCGGGCCUUGUACACACCGCCCGUCAAGUCACGAAAGUUGGUAACACCCGAAGCCGG